rnacentral:rRNA from 1 species
GGGUUGUGAGGUUAAGCGACUAAGCGUACACGGUGGAUGCCCUGGCAGUCAGAGGCGAUGAAGGACGUGCUAAUCUGCGAUAAGCGUCGGUAAGGUGAUAUGAACCGUUAUAACCGGCGAUUUCCGAAUGGGGAAACCCAGUGUGUUUCGACACACUAUCAUUAACUGAAUCCAUAGGUUAAUGAGGCGAACCGGGGGAACUGAAACAUCUAAGUACCCCGAGGAAAAGAAAUCAACCGAGAUUCCCCCAGUAGCGGCGAGCGAACGGGGAGGAGCCCAGAGCCUGAAUCAGUGUGUGUGUUAGUGGAAGCGUCUGGAAAGGCGCGCGAUACAGGGUGACAGCCCCGUACACAAAAAUGCACAUAUUGUGAGCUCGAUGAGUAGGGCGGGACACGUGGUAUCCUGUCUGAAUAUGGGGGGACCAUCCUCCAAGGCUAAAUACUCCUGACUGACCGAUAGUGAACCAGUACCGUGAGGGAAAGGCGAAAAGAACCCCGGCGAGGGGAGUGAAAAAGAACCUGAAACCGUGUACGUACAAGCAGUGGGAGCACGCUUCGGCGUGUGACUGCGUACCUUUUGUAUAAUGGGUCAGCGACUUAUAUUCUGUAGCAAGGUUAACCGAAUAGGGGAGCCGAAGGGAAACCGAGUCUUAACUGGGCGUUAAGUUGCAGGGUAUAGACCCGAAACC